GAUCUAUUUUUAAAUUGAAUAUUUAUUUUUAUUCAAAUAUAUUGAAAUUAAUAUGGAAACAAAAGUUCAUAAAUAUUAUUCUUAAUAACAAGAAUUGAGAUUUGGGCAUAAGUUUGAAAAGCCAUGUCAGAAGAGUAGGAUUAAAGACAAAGUAUUAAGAGUAAUUGGGCUGUUCCUGAACAAUAUUGAAUAUAAAUAUUCAAAAAUAUGAUUGAUAACUGCAUAUCCUACUAAGUAGAUCAAUACCAAAAUCCCAUUAGAGAAAUAAGUUAAAAAUAUGUUUU
rnacentral:lncRNA from 1 species